CUCGGCUCCAGGGCCUCGGCGCCGCGGGGACGAAACGCCGAGGGCGCCGAGGAGGAGGGGAGGGGGGCGCCGAGGGGCACAAGAGUGGGGAAAAGUGCGAAAAGAAGCAACAGCCGCUCCCCCGGAGCCCAGAAAAGUGGACGCCGCGUCCCGGCCGCCCGCCUGCGCCGGGGAUGCGGCGGCGGCGGCGGCUAACGGUCCAGCGAGGCGGCAGGGGCGGCGGGAGCCGCUAGGCGGAGAGACCAGUUUUCUCAGUUGGAGCUCCUCGCCUCUGUGCCUGGAAGGAGUUGCAGGUGUGUGUGGGGAGAGAGUGGUCACCCACAUGGCCCCGGCGCAGCUCGGGGGGCCCCCAGAAUUCCACACACGUGGUGAUACAGGUGUCCCUACAGCUACGUCACUACGUCUGUGAGACAGGCGUCACUUUGUCUACGUCACUACGCCUGUGUUACAGGCAUCACGCGGAAUGAGGAUGCAAGAACUGCCACCUGGCUUCCUCUGAACCACUGCCACGUGCGUCGUCCCCAUGUCGCUCCAGACGCUGGGGACGGCCGAGCUCCAGGGCCAGUCAGCCUCCAAGGUGGGACUCGAUUUCGCCACGGGGCAACAGCUAAAUCAUUUUGCUGAGUACCUGAAACUAACGCAACAUUGUAAAUCAACUCUAUUUCAAUAAAAGCCAGUUAAAAUAAAUGAUGGGGACAGAGUUAGGAAGUGAGAAAAAUUGUCUGAUGCCAAAAAGCACCUGAGCUGAACUGGAAAGAAGGUGUUUCUGAGGAACUUGGUCAGAAAACGUGGCAGGCAGUCUUCGGGCUUGGGUUGUCUGUCUGCAGCUGUGACACAUGGUCGUGACCGCCUGCACCAUUAUUUGGAGACUCAGGCAAGACUAAAAAUGUCUAAUAAAGUGUGCUUCACGUUGAUAAGGCUCUGGAAGCAAGAAUAGAAUUUUAUUGUUUAGUCUGGCAGAAAUUACUAAAACAGUCAUAAAUGAAAACAGUGCCGCCUGAUUCUUUGAGCUAUGUACACGAAACGCUCUUAAGUCCAUAGGGUUUGGUAACCGGGUGAUUACUUGCAGUAUGUGAACGGAAUGAUUUCCUCUUGGCCAGAGAAUACACGAGGAAAGGAGAUUACCCCCCUUAUGGAGUAUUUGCUGUGUCCCCCUCUGUGGAUGGGCCCACCGCUAUCCCUUCACUUCCUCUAUCGAAUACAAACCCUGUCACACACCUUGCCAACCACUCCUCACCUGUGGCAUCGUUCCUCGGAGGCGGGCAGAGGAUGGUCCAGCCGAAGGCAGGACCACAGGAGAGGCAGGAACCUCCAGCCCACUUUCUCCGCAUCCCAGUUCCGGGAUCCAGGCCAGGCAGCACAGGGGCUCUGCCUGUGGCCCUCUCCCCUCUCAGAGGGAGGACAGGUGCGGAAUUGAGAAACCGAGGGCUACGGGCGCUCCCCUUAGCUUCUGCCCUGGCACAGGGCAGGCACCGGGGUGCCCUCUUCCACUUGGGGUACCCGCCAGGGAUUCCCAAUUCCCCACAGGACUACAGUCUUCUCCUUCUUCAGGCCUCGCAUGGUCUCUGCUUUCCCCCAACAGGAGAAGACCUCGGCACCAUGACCUCAGGGCCACGCAGAAGAUGCCUGCCCUUCCAGAUCCUUCAAUGGGGGACAAAGGCUUUCAUUCCUCCAGCAGAGAUGGGGCUGCAGUGCGAACCAGAGCUUCCCAACCUCUGUGCCAGUUGUCAGUGUGUUGACAAACUGGUCUCCUCGGGUGUCGGGCACCUCGGCAGGGCCUGGAGCCUCCCUCCUCAUCCCUCUCCAUGGUCCCUGUGAUGGUACAAAUAGUACCAUUCCCUGUGACAGCCAUGACAUGCAGACAGUCUAAAUGACAGCAGAUCGUCCUAGUGAGGAGAUCCUGGUGAGGAUGGGCCCGAGUUCUGCCAGAGGCAUCUCCGCCCCUCAGCUUUUUAGCCAGAGCAUCACUACCCACCAGAGGGGCGGCCGGGUGCAGGGCUGGGGGCUCUGCUCCAUCCCCGGGGCGCCGGGUGGACCUGAGCCCUGUGGGCCCCACCGAGCUUUUGAAGUGGAAGGUUCCCCCAUUAUUCUAACCACCCCAGAAUCCUCCCUGGCCGCUUUUCUUUUUCUCCUGUUUCACCCAAGGGUAGAGUUGGCCCCAGCCAGCAUCAUGCCCUCCCCCUUCUCUGGCCCUGUGCUGGGAACUCAGAAGCAGGUGUGGGAGCCCGUGGCUGUGCCCUUAGCCGCAGGUCGCGGGGGACACGGCCUCCGUUAGCACGCCGCAGGAAGACCCCAGAACUGACAACCACGCUCGGCUUUGGGGGGUUUACAAAACACAUCCUGCCCCCCAAAAUUGCAGGGAUAUUUUAAAAUUCAAAUGGGUUAUAUUUUCUAAGCAAGAGCUACAUUGCUUUCCCAAAAGCAGUUUUCAGACAUUUCAAAAACUUUAGCUGGUGAGUCAAAAAUCUCCUUUUACUCUUUCUGUUUUCUCUCGCUCUGAAAAUACAUACAUAUGUAUACAUAAGCACACGUCACACUUGGAGGCGUAUCUUCUAGGAUGUAAAUAACAAAGGAGAGUGUGGCGGUUGGAAUCCUGCUGCUUGGAAGAGAUGGGUCUGUGCUCUGCAUCCCAGCACAGCGUUUAGCGCAUUGUUACGUACGGAGCCUCUGUUCCCUUCACGUGCACCCCCGUCUUCCGCUGCGCUCGCUGACCUGACCCGAGGCGGCUGGGCUGACGUCCCGCGCUCGCACCACGUGCUUGGAGAGUUCCCAAGGCCGGCAAGUCAAAUGUUGCGGCCAGGUCAUCGCCUGUUUCCAGCAAAAUGAGUUCCUAUCCAUUUAGGCCCAUCUUACUGCUCUUUGUUAUAACUAUUGCCAAGGAGAAACGAGCAGGUUUGGGUACCACAAGGCAAAAUAAUAUUUGAGAUUUUAACCUAUGCUUAUUUCUUAAUAUUGUAAGCACCCUAUUGUGAUUUGGGAACUUUUGUGUUAGUCUUCGAUCCUUCUCCCACGGAGUCCGGGAGGACUGGGUGCCCUGGCCUUGGCCUUGGGAUGCGCGGUCUCACUCCCUGUGCACAGAGGCGGCGUCCUUUGCACACGGCGGGGCUGAGUGGAGGCUCUAAGCUCGUGUGGCCUGAGACAUUCCAUCGCAGAGGCUCUCCUAGCAACAUGGCGAUGCCAGCAAACCCAACAAUGACCUUUUGUCGUUAGCUCUAUAAAGCCUGUGGCAUGAGUCUCACCAGGAAAUUCAAAGGAUAUUUUGCAAGAGAAGAGCGAUUUCCAGCUGAAGCUUUGAAUCGGUUGCUUUCCUCCAAUCUGCAAAUACCAAACUGGACCAGCACCAGAUUGUUGCUUCAAGAGCAGGACGUACCCAAAGAGGUGAGUCCGGACCGGCCCAGUCCUGGCUCUGGUUCGGGAACCACCUGUGUACCACCGGCAAGUCACUUAACUCUCUAGAUCUCACUGCCCUCAUCUCCACGCGUGGACAGUUACUUCUUGACAGCGCCGGGUACUCGCUAACCGUCCAGAUUCCUGGGCUGACACCCGUUCUCCUGCUGCAUCAGAAUCUCUGGGGCUGUGCUCCACAAACGUGACUUUCAACCAAAGGCAAAUAGAUGACAUUGCUGAACAAUUGUAAAAGUGCUUAGGUAACUAGCUUUCUAAUGUGUUUACUUGGCAUAAAGAGGGCCAGCGCACACUUAGAAUUGGCAUGUUGUGUAUAUGGUGGGGAGCACGUUUUUCUCUAAUAGAUUUUAGAAAGGACUAAACCAACCCAUUUUCUUUGCUGUUUCUGAUUAACUGUCCUCUAUAACAGACUGUAAAUCAUGCACCCCUAUCAGGAAAACACUUUCGAGCAUGUGUUUCCAAUAUUGGCACUUUAAAAAUAUUGAAUAUUAAUAUCUAUUUAUAUACUAUAUUGUGCUUUAGUAGGAACAUAUUAUGAAUAUGUUCCUAAUAUUAAAAAA